GAUGAACGCUGGCGGCGUGCUUAACACAUGCAAGUCGAACGAUGAAGCCCAGCUUGCUGGGUGGAUCAGUGGCGAACGGGUGAGUAACACGUGAGUAACCUGCCCUUUACUCUUUGAUAAGCCUGGAAAACUGGGUCUUAUCCUUGAUACCACUUCUCACCUCCUGGUGGAGGGUGGAGAGAUUUAUUCGUUUUGGAUUGCCUGGCGGCUUACCAGCUUUAGUUGGAGGUAGUGGUUCACCAACGCGACGACGGAUAGCCGGCCUGGGAGGGUGAACGGCGACAAUGGGACUGAGAGACGCCGCAGAGUCGAACAGGGGACAGCAGUGGGAAGCCUUGCCCAAUGGGAGCACGCCUGAUGCAGAGGCGCCCGGUUUGGAAUGACGGCCUUCGGGGUGUAAAACUCUUUCGGUAAGGAAGACGCGGGAGUGACGGUACCUGCAGAAGAAGCGCCGGCUAACUACGUG
rnacentral:rRNA from 1 species